rnacentral:rRNA from 1 species
GUGGGGAAUAUUGCACAAUGGGCGCAAGCCUGAUGCAGCCAUGCCGCGUGUAUGAAGAAGGCCUUCGGGUUGUAAAGUACUUUCAGCGGGGAGGAAGGUGUUGAGGUUAAUAACCUCAGCAAUUGACGUUACCCGCAGAAGAAGCACCGGCUAACUCCGUGCCAGCAGCCGCGGUAAUACGGAGGGUGCAAGCGUUAAUCGGAAUUACUGGGCGUAAAGCGCACGCAGGCGGUCUGUCAAGUCGGAUGUGAAAUCCCCGGGCUCAACCUGGGAACUGCAUUCGAAACUGGCAGGCUGGAGUCUUGUAGAGGGGGGUAGAAUUCCAGGUGUAGCGGUGAAAUGCGUAGAGAUCUGGAGGAAUACCGGUGGCGAAGGCGGCCCCCUGGACAGGUACUGACGCUGAGGCGCGAAAGCGUGGGGAGCAAACAGGAUUAGAUACCCCUGUAGUCC